rnacentral:rRNA from 1 species
CCUACGGGUGGCAGCAGUGGGGAAUAUUGCACAAUGGGGGAAACCCUGAUGCAGCGACGCCGCGUGAGUGAAGAAGUAUCUCGGUACGUAAAGCUCUAUCAGCAGGGAAGAAAAUGACGGUCCCUGACUAAGAAGCCCCGGCUAACUACGUGCCAGCAGCCGCGGUAAUACGUAGGGGGCAAGCGUUAUCCGGAUUUGCUGGGGUUAAGGGGAGCGUAGACGGCAGGACAAGUCUGGAGUGAAAGCCAGGGGCUUAACCCCGGAACUGCUUUGGAAACUGUGUGGCUGGAGUGCAGGAGGGGUAAGCGGAAUGCGUAGUGUAGCGGUGAAAUGCGUAGAUAUUAGGAGGAACACCGGUGGCGAAGGCGGCUUACUGGACUGUAACUGACGUUGAGGCUCGAAAGCGUGGGGAGCAAACAGGAUUAGAUACCCGGGUAGUC